AUACGUAGGGGGCGAGCGUUGUCCGGAAUGAUUGGGCGUAAAGGGCGCGUAGGCGGCCCGGUAAGUCUGGAGUGAAAGUCCUGUUUUUAAGAUGGGAAUUGCUUUGGAUACUGUCGGGCUUGAGUGCAGGAGAGGUAAGUGGAAUUCCCAGUGUAGCGGUGAAAUGCGUAGAGAUUGGGAGGAACACCAGUGGCGAAGGCGAAUUACUGGACUGUAACUGACGCUGAGGCGCGAAAGUGUGGUGAGCAAACAGGAUUAGAUACCCUGGUAGUCCACACUGUAAACGAUGAAUGCUAGGUGUAGGGGGUAUCGACCCCUUCUGUGCCGCAGUCAACACAAUAAGCAUUCCGCCUGGGGAGUACGGCCGCAAGGUUGAAACUCAA
rnacentral:rRNA from 1 species